CCCUGCCAUUUGUACACACCGCCCGUCGCUACUACCGAUUGAAUGGCUUAGUGAGGUCUUCGGAUCGGCUUUGGGGAGCCGGCAACGGCACCUCAUUGCUGAGAAGUUGAUCAAACUUGGUCAUUUAGAGGAAGUAAAAGUCGUAACAAG
rnacentral:rRNA from 1 species